CCCUCGACUACCUGUCCCAGCCCUCCUCCUUGCGUCGCCGCGGGUCUCGGCCUCCCUCCUCCCUUCGUCCAAGGUAAAGGGAGAGCACAUUGGUGGUCGUCGUGGCCAGGCCGGGGGAGCCGCCGUAGAGCCUCCACGUCGUCGGAGCAGAGCAGCCCGACAGAAGGUGGGUGCCGAUCUCGUCCCGCAGAUCACCGUCUGGCGACUCCUCGGAAGCCGACCCUUCUACUCCUCGGAAGCCGACGUACGGAAUCCUCUACUACUCCAUCAGUGGCUGACCAUGGACUCCUCUGGCGACUCCUCGGAAGCCGACCCUUCCCACGAGCCCUCUACUGCCAGCCUCCCUUCACUGCGGACCCUCAUAAUUAAGGAUGGUGGUACACUGAUCCUCAAGACCACGGCUGGCCAGCACAUUAAUAGAAGCUCUGGAUGUUCGUGUUCAUCAUAUGUGCUUCUCUCCCUCCUUUCUUUUGAUUAUUUCUCUAUACUUCAUCUUCUGACUGGUGUUAGCAUGUAUACUACCAGGAAGAAAUAGGGCGAGCGACCCUUUGAGGUAGCAACAGCCAAAUAAAACAUUCUUUUUGCAAGGAGGAAGAGACCUGGUAGCAUCCAUUUGGGUGACUGAAAAAUAUUGUGUGACACAUCUAUGUCAAUCACAUGCUUUGUUAUUGCAGGAAAAUAACAUCAAAGAAAGAAGAUGAUUUAAUAAAGAAGCACACCAGGAUGUGGUUGAUAAGAUGAAAGACUUUGUAAUAAACCAGUUGUAGGGUGGAAGUCGUCGAUGUUGUUCAAUAGUAUGCUGCCCCUAGAGGGGAAGCCGUGCGUGUGCCCAGUGAGGAGAAGCAGCGAGGGCUCUAGUUGUGAGAGGCUGAAGCUUGGGGACGAUUACAUCAUGCACAAGAGGGCAUAGAGGAGGUUCUCUGAACAUCCUUCCGGAUGAAUUAUGACGAUCCAAACGAGGUUGUAGCAGUUAUACUGGGCAGUAGCACUGGGACUCAGAUUUUCCCUCCUACAAGCACAAGAGGUGCACCUACUGUUCCUGUUGGAAAGGCUUAUUAAUAUUCCAAUGAGCAACUACUUAAGCAGAGGCGCAAACAAGAUAUUCAUCAUAACUUGGUUUAAAUCAACUUUCUUAAUGGUCACAUUCAUCGCACAUACCUUGGCAAGGGAAUCAAGUUCACUUAUGGAUAUGCUGAUGUAAUUCUCCCCAGCUUGCAAAGACAUCAACCAAGACGUGCUUAUGAAGUCACAAGCUCAUGUCAGGACACAUCUUACUCUGAGUUGUCCUUGAACUUAAUAAAUGUGGUUUACCAAGGAGAAGAGCUUAAUGGAUGUGGUGUAACAAUACAAUUCCUGUCAAUAGAAGCAUCCCCACCACUUCUCGCUUGUUGUAGGUUUUAGAAACUAGACACCAAUUGAUAUUGCUUUGUUAAACUAAGAUGUGCUAUUAUCAUUUUUUGCUUCCUUUCUAAUCAUUGUGUCUCGGUUUAUCAUUUUAUUUUCUGUAGAUUCAGUGGGUCCUGGCUCUAGCUAAUUGAUCUUUGACAUGGGUUUCAUUGCAUGCUAAUUUUCCUUCCAAAUUCCUCACUGAUGGCAUACCAUGCACCACAAUUCAUCUUUUGAUAAAUAAAUCUGUUAGGUACAUAGUUAUCAUGUCUGCUGUCUUUUGGUUAUGUUUCAAAUUUGAAUUUGUCAAGUUGAGUUGUUUUCUACAUGAGAUUGCGAGGUAGGGUGGCAUAUUUAAGUUUGUAGAGCAUGGAUAUUGCGAUUAUGAACUUAAUUUAGUCAUCUUGCCCAUGAAAUUUGCAUAUUAUAAUAUAAUCAUAUAUAUUAUAACAGAAAGUUGCUUGCUAUAAGAAAUGCUAAUGGUACCUUUGUUGUUGAUACAUUCUAAAGUCUUGCUGAACAGGGGCUUCCUUUAAUGUUCUGUCACCUCCUUUCUACAGUUACAAUAUCCUGAUUUUAUGAAACAAACAAAUGAACAUGGUAAUUGCACCAAUAGAAAAUAUGGUCCUUUGGAUUUCAGGUACACAAGAACAACAGAAAAUAGAAAGAUACAGAUGCGCUCGAAAGCAGAUUACUAAGCCUCAACACUUCAUGUAGGAAGGAUAUACAUAUAAACACAUAACUGAAGGCAUCGAGGUCCUCAACCACGACUGAACAAGGAACACGGAAGCAUGCCGGCUCUAGAGAGGGAAUGAAGAUGCACUGUCAAGGCAUGCCAUCACCAAACACUAAGGCCCUUGGCACGACACAUCCAUCCAACUAAGUCUCCGAAGGAGGCCACAACCUCCUUGCCUGGAUCGCAAGGCACCACACCGUCGGAAGAUCAGAAAGUUCCCCAAUAACAUGGAUGGAUGCCGCCGGGUGGUCACUUAGAUCAGAUCAGGACACAUCAAAUGUGCCGAGGCUCUCCAAAAGCAUGACGAAUGCCACACAGCCCAAGGCCAGAACACGGCGAAGGAAAAGCACAAGCUUCGGCGCCACAAUCCCGGCUGCACCUCUCCUAUGGCGGUGAGGAGGGAGGGUUACACUGGAGGGAGGGCGACGCAUGGGAGGGGGCUGUGUCCACAUGUGGUGCUAAGUUAUUUGUGGGUUACACUGAAGCUUAUCCUGUUCCUUAGUUGAUUUAGACAUCAAAUAUAUAAGCUUUGUUAUUUGUCAGCAAACAGGUGAACUAAUAAAGGAAGACUUCUUACAUAAAUAGUAGU